rnacentral:rRNA from 1 species
UACGGGGGGGGCAAGCGUUGUUCGGAAUUACUGGGCGUAAAGGGCUCGUAGGCGGCCAACUAAGUCAGACGUGAAAUCCCUCGGCUUAACCGGGGAACUGCGUCUGAUACUGGAUGGCUUGAAUCCGGGAGAGGGAUGCGGAAUUCCAGGUGUAGCGGUGAAAUGCGUAGAUAUCUGGAGGAACACCGGUGGCGAAGGCGGCAUUCUGGACCGAUAUUGACGCUGAGGAGCGAAAGCCAGGGGAGCAAACGGG